rnacentral:rRNA from 1 species
UCAUUAACUGAAUCCAUAGGUUAAUGAGGCGAACCGGGGGAACUGAAACAUCUAAGUACCACGAGGAAAAGAAAUCAACCGAGAUUCCCCCAGUAGCGGCGAGCGAACGGGGAGGAGCCCAGAGCCUGAAUCAGCAUGUGUGUUAGUGGAAGCGUCUGGAAAGGCGCGCGAUACAGGGUGACAGCCCCGUACACAAAAGCGCAUGUGCUGUGAGCUCGAUGAGUAGGGCGGGACACGUGGUAUCCUGUCUGAAUAUGGGGGGACCAUCCUCCAAGGCUAAAUACUCCUGACUGACCGAUAGUGAACCAGUACCGUGAGGGAAAGGCGAAAAGAACCCCGGCGAGGGGAGUGAAAAAGAACCUGAAACCGU